AUGGCCUGGACUCCUGUCCUCCUCAGGCUCCUCUCCUAUUGUACAGGGUCCUGGGCCCAGUCUGUGCUGACUCAGCCGCCCUCUAUGUCUGGGGCCCUGGGCCAGAAGGUCACCAUCUCCUGCACUCGAAGCAGCCCCAACAUAGGUUGAUAUUACGUGGGCUGGCAUCAACAACUCCCAGGGUCCGCCCCCAGAGCCAUCAUCUAUGCUAAUAGCAACCGACCCUCAGGCAUCAUAGAUUGAUUCUCUCCUUCUGUGUCUGGCAACUCAGGCUCCCUGACCAUCGCUGGGCUUCAGGCUGAGGACAAGCCUGAUUACUCCUGCCUGCCCUAUGACAGCGGACUCCAUGCUCACACCGUAUUCCCUCCCGGGCUGUGGGGAAGAAACACAGACAUGCUGUACCCACAGCAACGGGGCUCCCCGUGCAGCCCUAUUUCCUGGCCAUGCAAACUGCUUGCUUGCUUUCUUUGGUACAACCUGGGGCCUGAGAUCCAUCUGAGGGAAUUUGUCCACGAAUUCAUUUCACAUUCUUUAAAAUUUGUCUCUGAACCCUGUCCUUGA